GGGGCUGUGGCUCAGUGGUAGAGCGCUCGCUUAGCAUGCGUGAGGCACUGGGUUUGAUCCUUAGUACCA
rnacentral:tRNA from 1 species